GGGGAUGACGGGCUUCGACAAAAGAUCGUUAUCAUAGAUAUGCGUGUCGAGUGAGGAGGUAUCUCGUAAAACUACUUUCAAAAGACUAAGUGCAAACAAAGUCGCUUCAGUGAAAUCACCUUAUAUGGGUAAUUUCGCUUUCGCAUUCGCCUAAAUUUAGGUCAUGUGUUUGUCUACUCUCUAGACAUCCGAUAUAGGGUGUAGGCAUCAUUCAUCGGGUUACGAAUUACAAACUGCUUGAUUGUAAUUCCGACAAUAAAGAGCUCGGUGUUCAUCUUUUUUGUACGUUUUCUAGGAUGAAUAUUUAAACCAAAUAAACGUUGCUACACAUGUAGACGUAUCUAUGAACAUCUUUUGCAUGGCGGUUCAACUCCGCCCAUCUCCACAA
rnacentral:tmRNA from 1 species